AUUGAACGCUGGCGGCAGGCCUAACACAUGCAAGUCGAGCGGUAGCACAGAGAGCUUGCUCUCGGGUGACGAGCGGCGGACGGGUGAGUAAUGUCUGGGAAACUGCCUGAUGGAGGGGGAUAACUACUGGAAACGGUAGCUAAUACCGCAUAACGUCGCAAGACCAAAGUGGGGGACAUUCGGGCCUCAUGCCAUCAGAUGCGCCCAGAUGGGAUUAGCUGGUAGGUGGGGUAACGGCGCACCUAGGCGACGAUCCCUAGCUGGUCUGAGAGGAUGACCAGCCACACUGGAACUGAGACACGGUCCAGACUCCUACGGGAGGCAGCAGUGGGGAAUAUUGCACAAUGGGCGCAAGCCUGAUGCAGCCAUGCCGCGUGUGUGAAGAAGGCCUUCGGGUUGUAAAGCACUUUCAGCGGGGCGGAAGGCGGUGAGGUUAAUAACCUCAUCGAUUGACGUUACCCGCAGAAGAAGCACCGGCUAACUCCGUGCCAGCAGCCGCGGUAACAC
rnacentral:rRNA from 1 species